rnacentral:rRNA from 1 species
UGGGGAAUAUUGCACAAUGGGGGAAACCCUGAUGCAGCGACGCCGCGUGAGCGAAGAAGGCUUUCGAGUCGUAAAGCUCUGUCCUAUGAGAAGAUAAUGACGGUAUCAUAGGAGGAAGCCCUGGCUAAAUACGUGCCAGCAGCCGCGGUAAUACGUAUGGGGCGAGCGUUGUCCGGAAUUAUUGGGCGUAAAGGGUACGUAGGUGGUUUUUUAAGUCAGGUGUCAAAGCGUGGAGCUUAACUCCAUUAAGCACUUGAAACUGAAAGACUUGAGUGAAGGAGAGGAAAGUGGAAUUCCUAGUGUAGUGGUGAAAUGCGUAGAUAUUAGGAGGAAUACCGGUGGCGAAAGCGGCUCUCUGGUCUGUAACUGACGCUGAGGCUCGAAAGCGUGGGGAGCGAACAGG